UACGAAGGGGGGCUAGCGUUGCUCGGAAUCACUGGGCGUAAAGCGCACGUAGGCGGACUCUUAAGUCAGGGGUGAAAUCCUGGAGCUCAACUCCAGAACUGCCUUUGAUACUGAGAGCCUUGAGUUCGGGAGAGGUGAGUGGAACUGCGAGUGUAGAGGUGAAAUUCGUAGAUAUUCGCAAGAACACCGGUGGCGAAGGC
rnacentral:rRNA from 1 species